UACGUAGGGUGCGAGCGUUGUCCGGAAUUAUUGGGCGUAAAGGGCUCGUAGGCGGUCUGUCACGUCGGGAGUGAAAACUCAGGGCUUAACCCUGAGCCUGCUUCCGAUACGGGCAGACUAGAGGUAUGCAGGGGGAGAACGGAAUUCCUGGUGUAGCGGUGAAAUGCGCAGAUAUCAGGAGGAACACCGGUGGCGAAGGCGGUUCUCUGGGCAUUACCUGACGCUGAGGAGCGAAAGUGUGGGGGAGCGAACAGG
rnacentral:rRNA from 1 species